GGUAGAGAGCCCUGCAGAAGGCUGGGAUUUAUCGAGCAGCUGACAGAAGGUGGUGGCAGAGCUAGGUCAUGGCACAUUUGCCACAGUUCUUCCCUCUUUCCUCAGCCCUGCAAAGACCACAGAAGCCCCCAGUAUAGGGUUGUGCUUAUUCUGAGGAUGAGGAGGCUGACACUCAUCCCUCCUGAGCUGGGAGGGCACCACUGGGACAGGACUGGUAGAACUCCACAAAGCUACCAUUACCCAGAACCCUCUCUUUCCAUGUUCUGUGGCAGUUAGAGGCCACCAGUGUUUCCAGUAACCCAGAACCCCCUCUUUCCAUGUGUCCAGUAACUGACGGACCUGGGGUUCAUUUUCUAGACAGGAGGCAUGUUUGGCAGAGCUCGAUGGAUCCAGCUCUGCAUGUCCUGCUGACUUGAGGACAUUUGCUUCCAGCUUCAAGGAGCUGUGGGACCUGGAGGUCUUGCUGGUCCAGGAAGCAGCACACAUCACUGCUGAGUGUGAGCAGUUACAGAACUGGAGGCUGCAUAUCGCCACGAGACUCACACACUCUAGAAAUGCCUAAAGAUGCUGAAGAACUGGAGGAAAUAUCAGAGUAAUAGCAAGCUGUGUCACAAAACAGACAUGGGGAUCACUGCCCAGGUGUGGGGGAAGAAGUCAACACUGCUGCUAGACAUGAACAAGAUAAAGACCGAGAGUCCAGGAAAAUACCAGUUGAAACGAUGUCCUCAACAUAGUGUCACAGGUGGAUGCUAGGAGACAACUGAAGGCCAGCCAGAUCCUGUUAACACAGACCACGAGCCCUGGAGGACCACAGAGGCAGUCGACUGGAAGUCUCAUAAAGGUGCAUUGUUGGCCUUCAAAUUAAAAGGAAACGGUGGGGCUGGUGCUAUGGUAUAGCGGAUUAACGCCUUGGCCUGCAGCGUAAGCAUCUCAUAUGGGCGUCAGUUUGAGAUCCCCUGCUCCAAUUCCCAACCAGCUCUCUGCUAUGGCCUGGGAAAGCAGUAGAAGAUGGCCCAAGUCCUUGGGCCCCUGCACCCAAGGAGGAGACCUAAGGAACCUCCUGGCUCCUGGCUUCGGAUCGGUGCAGAUCCGGCCAUUCCAGUCAAUUCUCUCUUUCUGCCCCUCCUCUCUCUCUAUAACUCUGACUUUCAUAUAAAUAAAUAAAAUCUUUACAAAAUAAAGUAAAUGGUGCCAAAUCUCCACAAGACACAUACAGUUCUUGCCACAGCAAUAAUGGCAAAAUUAUCAGGGGCAGUCUGAUAAUAUCAAGUAAGGCAAAUUCAAAGCGAAGCAUGACCUUCUUGAGGUGGUGGUAACUUGCGGGAUGCCUCCAUUCCUAUCCGCCAGCUUGGAGAAGGUGCUUGAUGGGUGAGUUAAUAGAUGACUCAAUGUAUUUCAAAGAAUACUUAUACUCUAUCAUGGACAGCUAUGUCGAUUCCCCACUUGUCCUUCUUGAGUUAUAUUUUAGGGUGUUGACAAUAUAGGGAUGUGUGUUAAGUGUCCAUGCCGCAUCAGUACAAAAGACUUGGGAUUGAUCUAGGUGAAGAACAGAAGUCUUAGGCUGUCCAUGCCAAGGAACAGAAAUGAUAGGCAGAAGAAGAGGUAGGCAGAAGCAACACAAGGACUCAUAGGAAGAGGUUGGGUCCUGUCUUGAUGCUGACCAUGGCAGUCGACCCAAGGGCAUGUCCUCUUCAUAGUCUGUCAAUGAAUAAUGACUGAUGCACUUUACUGGGAAUGAUCACAAUGCCGUAGGAGUUAGUGCCUGAUGAUCCAUAAGGCUCUAUAAUGUGACCCUAAUACAUGGUGAUUGUCAUCCACAAAGAUGCCUGGUGAUGAUUGCUUACCGCUAGUGUGCACAAGAAUCCCACCAUGGUUGAAUGUCUGGUGGUCUUCUCUCUGUCUAGAAGGGCCUCAGUGGUGUCCAGAAACUCAUGAGACUUGCCUGAAAUGAGCCAGUAGGCAGCAGUGCAGCCUGCGAAGCCACUGACUUUGUUGACGAUGUUCAGAAUAGGUCACAACAUGUAUCACAGGAAGUCAGAGAGCGCACCACAUCUGAUUACACAGCACUGGACUGCAGAGAGAUGCUGAAGCAAACUCUGGCUGUGAACACUCUACGUGUCUGCCUUCGUAUUUCCCAGGGUGCUUAGGGUUUGCGUAGGUUGAUAAACUUCUGAAGUUGCCGCCAACAGGGCCAGAAGUUUUGCUCGGUCCUGUGGUGGGACUGCUUUUACAAGUAACAAUGGGAAUGCUGAUGUUGUGGCACAGCUAACAAUGCUUCCGUUUUAUAUUGUAGUGCUGGGGCAUGCCCCAGCUACUAUGCUUCCACUCCAGCUUCCUCCUAAGGUGCAUGGAUAGACAGUAGGUGAUGCCUGAAGAUCUCAGGACUCUGCAACCCAUGUUGGAAAAGAAGAUGGAGUUCCUGCUCCUGGCUUCACCUUGGCUAAUCUGUAGCUGUUGCAGCCAUUUGGAGAGUGAGGUAGUGGUUGGGAUGAUAUCUCUAUGUCGUUCCCUCACUAAUAUUUUUUUUCCAAAUAAAAAAUCAUUAAAAUGUAACAAUAGCCAAGGAACUGUGACAGAGUUGUUAAGAUGUCAUUUGGGUUACCCACGUCCCAUAUCAGAGCACCUGGAUUUCAGUAUAAUCUUCCUGCAGUCAGGUUUCCUGCUAAUGUACACUCUGAUGGAUAGCAGGCAUUGGGUCAGUUACUUAGGUCUCUUCCACCAAUGUGAGAGAACUGGAUGGAGUUCUUGGCUUCUGACUUUGGCCUAGCCCUUUCAAUAAUGUCUGCAGGCUUUGGGGGUGAGGCCAACAGAUGGAAGCAUCUCUCUCUAUCUCACACUGCCAUUCUAAUAAUUAGUAUAUAAAGGCAUCAAUACAUUGUAUUUGGCAUGGCAAUUAAAGACAUCAUUUUUGGUGCCAGCAUCCCAUCGCAAAGUAUCUAGGAUCAAUACCUGUCAUGCAUUCACAUCCAGGUUCCUGCUUCUGCUUACCCUGGGAAACACAGGAUGGCUCAGAUAUUUGGGCCCUUGCCA